rnacentral:rRNA from 1 species
UACGUAGGCAGCGAGCGUUGUUCGGAGUUACUGGGCGUAAAGGGUGUGUAGGCGGUUCUCUAAGUUUGGUGUGAAAUCUCCCGGCUCAACCGGGAGGGUGCGACGAAAACUGGAGGGCUAGAGUGCGGGAAGGGAGAGUAGAAUUCCUGGUGUAGCGGUGAAAUGCGUAGAUAUCAGGAGGAAUACCGGUGGUGUAGACGGCUCUCUGGACCGCGACUGACGCUGAGACACGAAAGCGUGGGUAGCAAACAGG